CGUUUGCAACCCGAGCCAGGAGCUGGGCAUGGUGUGACAGCUUCUAGGCUUUUCCUACUAGGUAUCAACACUUAGAAGGUCAUUUGGACUUACGUUUUCUCCAUUGCUGGCACCUCAGAGGGAUGCUGUUGCAGCUUUGUUGCCUUACAUCAAGCCAAACCACAGGAAGAGGAGCAGCUGGAGAGUUACUCUUCUGAUGGACUUCCAGGUUGAUGUUCAUUAAAAGUAAAUCCACUUUGCAAGUUCCAAUCAACCAUCCUUCUUACGGCCCCGAGGAAUUCAACUGGCUCAUCACUUGUCCCAUGGCACUCCCCUGCAUAAGGCACCACCACUCCUCACCCUUUCCAGCCUGUCUUUCCUGAAGAGCCUAUAUCCAUCUGUGGCAGCUCUCCAGUCGCGUGAACCAUCCUGCCAUGUCUCUAUAAUCCAAAAGAAAUCAUAAUUCUGCAGUUGUGUGGGGGCUGGAAAUUUCCCCAGUUGUUUUCUAUGCUGCGUACAUUUGUUUACAGCUACUUGAGAUGAACCCAGAGUCAUGAUGCUUUCACAAGGGACAUGCAGGAUCGUGCUGCAGAGACUUCAGUGAGGGCACCUCUGC